rnacentral:misc_RNA from 1 species
UUAAAAAUAUAAAAUUUUAUAAAUUUCAAUUUAAUCAAUUUAAAAUCGAACCGAACCAAUAUUUAUUGAUUCAAUUCAAUUCAAUUUUCUCUUAUUAAUUAAUUUGAUUCAUUUUUAAAAUUUUUAAUUUUUAAUUUUAUCAAUUCGAAAUUGAACUAACAGUUUGCACACUUUUAAUUGAGGUGAGGACUGACGAUUUCAAAAAUCGAUAUCUUCUCCUCCUUUCUUUUAAAAAAGAAAAUAAAAAAAAGCUCUUUUUCCGAGGGUAUCUUCGACGUUGGACCUUAAAUGGCUUUUUACUUAUAGGCUUUAAAAACACAGACAGUAGUUGCCUCCCUAUCGGUCUACAAGAGUAAAGCCUAUAGUCAUUGGGCUUUUCUAAUCUUAGACCUAGUGGCCCAGUGAAUUAUGAAUGGAAAAAUGAAUCGUCACAAAACUUACCUUAGCAAUCAGCGGGAGUGGUUAGGUUGCACUUGGCAGGCAAACCUAAUGCAAGAUCAGGAUCAAUCCCA